rnacentral:lncRNA from 1 species
GUUUACUCUUUACAAAAUUAGAAGACUCGCCGUUUUUGCGUUAACGCGGAGGUAAACGCGAAAGUAAACGCCCGUUUACUUUUAAUGUCUACUGCAAUUUCGGAGUUAACGCACAGUUAACGCGGCGUUUACAUGAAGUGCACGCGAGUAAACGCCGCGUUAACUUUUUCGGCCCGUCUACAUGUAAUGCUUGGUCUGCACCCAACUGUAUGUUCGAAUAUAAUAUGGCUAAAAUGGAGAGUAUAUAUGAACGCAAUUGUGAGAACAUUCUUUUCCUGGUAUUUUACGAGCAAAUUUCUGCUUGUGAUCUUCCACUUCAAAUACUGGAAAUGGUUAAUUGUCAAUCAUAUAUUGAGUAUCCAAAUGAUGAGUACGGUGACGUUGUCUUUUGGGAACAGCUUAUAAGGAAUAUCAAAUCGUACUAGUGAAUAUGUCCUCUAUUUAACGCCAUGUAUCGUUUAUUAUGUACAAGG